rnacentral:rRNA from 1 species
UACGGGGGGGGCAAGCGUUGUUCGGAAUUACUGGGCGUAAAGGGCUCGUAGGCGGCCAACUAAGUCGGAUGUGAAAUCCCCAGGCUUAACCUGGAAACUGCAUCCGAUACUGGAUGGCUUGAAUUCGGGAGAGGGAUGCAGAAUUCCAGGUGUAGCGGUGAAAUGCGUAGAUAUCUGGAGGAAUACCGGUGGCGAAGGCGGCAUCCUGGACCGAGAUUGACGCUGAUGAGCGAAAGCUAGGGGAGCAAACGGG